AGCGAACGCUGGCGGCAGGCCUAACACAUGCAAGUCGAACGAACCCUUCGGGGUUAGUGGCGGACGGGUGAGUAACACGUGGGAACGUGCCUUUAGGUUCGGAAUAACUCAGGGAAACUCGUGCUAAUACCGAAUGUGCCCUACGGGGGAAAGAUUUAUCGCCGUUAGAGCGGCCCGCGUCUGAUUAGCUAGUUGGUGAGGUAAUGGCUCACCAAGGCUACGAUCAGUAGCUGGUCUGAGAGGAUGACCAGCCACAUUGGGACUGAGACACGGCCCAAACUCCUACGGGAGGCAGCAGUGGGGAAUCUUGCGCAAUGGGCGAAAGCCUGACGCAGCCAUGCCGCGUGGAUGAUGAAGGUCUUAGGAUUGUAAAAUCCUUUCACCGGUGAAGAUAAUGACUGUAGCCGGAGAAGAAGCCCCGGCUAACUUCGUGCCAGCCGCCGCCGUAAGAC
rnacentral:rRNA from 1 species